rnacentral:rRNA from 1 species
AGAGUUUGAUCCUGGCUCAGGAUGAACGCUAGCUACAGGCUUAACACAUGCAAGUCGAGGGGCAGCAUGGUCUUAGCUUGCUAAGGCCGAUGGCGACCGGCGCACGGGUGAGUAACGCGUAUCCAACCUGCCUUACACUCUUGGACAGCCUUCUGAAAGGGAGAUUAAUACAAGAUGUUAUCAUGAGUAAGCAUUUUCGCAUGAUUAAAGGUUUACCGGUGUAAGAUGGGGAUGCGUUCCAUUAGAUAGUAGGCGGGGUAACGGCCCACCUAGUCUUCGAUGGAUAGGGGUUCUGAGAGGAAGGUCCCCCACAUUGGAACUGAGACACGGUCCAAACUCCUACGGGAGGCAGCAGUGAGGAAUAUUGGUCAAUGGACGAGAGUCUGAACCAGCCAAGUAGCGUGAAGGAUGAAGGUUCUAUGGAUUGUAAACUUCUUUUAUACGGGAAUAAACGAAUCCACGCGUGGAUUUUUGCAUGUACCGUAUGAAUAAGGAUCGGCUAACUCCGUGCCAGCAGCCGCGGUAAUACGGAGGAUCCGAGCGUUAUCCGGAUUUAUUGGGUUUAAAGGGAGCGUAGAUGGGUUGUUAAGUCAGUUGUGAAAGUUUGCGGCUCAACCGUAAAAUUGCAAUUGAUACUGGCAGUCUUGAGUACGGUUGAGGUAGGCGGAAUUCGUGGUGUAGCGGUGAAAUGCUUAGAUAUCACGAAGAACUCCGAUUGCGAAGGCAGCUUACUAACCUGUAACUGACAUUGAUGCUCGAAAGUGUGGGUAUCAAACAGGAUUAGAUACCCUGGUAGUCCACACGGUAAACGAUGAAUACUCGCUGUAGGCGAUAUACAGUCUGCGGCCAAGCGAAAGCAUUAAGUAUUCCACCUGGGGAGUACGCCGGCAAUGGUGAAACUCAAAGGAAUUGACGGGGGCCCGCACAAGCGGAGGAACAUGUGGUUUAAUUCGAUGAUACGCGAGGAACCUUACCCGGGCUUAAAUUGCAACCGAAUAUGGCGGAAACGCUAUAGCUAGCAAUAGCGGUUGUGAAGGUGCUGCAUGGUUGUCGUCAGCUCGUGCCGUGAGGUGUCGGCUUAAGUGCCAUAACGAGCGCAACCCUUGCCGAUAGUUACUAACAGGUCAUGCUGAGGACUCUGUCGGGAAUGCCAUCGUAAGAUGUGAGGAAGGUGGGGAUGACGUCAAAUCAGCACGGCCCUUACGUCCGGGGCUACACACGUGUUACAAUGGGGGGUACAGAGGGCUGCUACCACGCAAGUGGAUGCCAAUCCCAAAAACCUCUCUCAGUUCGGAUUGAAGUCUGCAACCCGACUUCAUGAAGCUGGAUUCGCUAGUAAUCGCGCAUCAGCCACGGCGCGGUGAAUACGUUCCCGGGCCUUGUACACACCGCCCGUCAAGCCAUGGGAGCCGGGGGUACCUGAAGUGCGUAACCGCAAGGAGCGCCCUAGGGUAAAACUGGUGACUGGGGCUAAGUCGUAACAAGGUAGCCG